rnacentral:sRNA from 1 species
UUUCACCCUUUUUCCGAUUUUAUUAUAUUUAUAGUCGUGUAGGGCAGAAUAAUCGAACAAUUUGCUUUCGUUUACGUUAAUUGUUAUAAUUUAAUUCUCGGUGUCUGCUGGCCAUAUUCCAUUGUUUAUAAGUUUUACUAAGGAUUGUGCAAGUAGAGGAGUCGAUUAAGCGUGCCAGGGAAGGCGUUUUGUUUAUUUGCGUGUCCAAUAUGAGGGUAUGG